rnacentral:rRNA from 1 species
UACGGAGGGUGCAAGCGUUGUCCGGAAUCACUGGGCGUAAAGGGCGCGUAGGCGGCCGCGUAAGUCACUUGUGAAAUCCCGGGGCUCAACUCCGGGGCUGCAGGUGAGACUGCGUGGCCAGAGCACGGUAGAGGCGAGUGGAAUUCCCGGUGUAGCGGUGGAAUGCGUAGAUAUCGGGAAGAACACCGGUGGCGAAGGCGGCUCGCUGGGCCGUUGCUGACGCUGAGGCGCGAAAGCGUGGGGAGCAAACAGG